GUUCUCUAUAGGUGCUAGGUAUCUAAAGGCGCGUGCAUGUGGUAAUAUCUCUGUAUAAGCUUAUAUGAACCAAUAAGAAGAUGAAGAGGUUGAAGAUAUUGUGAUUCCUAAAUCUUCUGAGAGUUUAGACAACAAAUCAAACUUAAAAAAAGAUAUAGAAGGUAGUGACAGCUGAGAUAAUAUUGUAGUUUAUUUGAUGUGCUCACGUAUGCACAUUUCUACAUGCACUGUAGACCCAAAGCUUGUAUCCUCUUCCGUUGUUGGAAGCAGUUCAUCACUGUGUACACCGUGACAUAAAGCCUUGGAAAAUUCUACUAAACUGUUAAGGGAACAUCAGGCUCUGAGAUUUUGGGAUAAUUGAUACAUUCGUUCGCUGCCAUUUUAUAGCCAGAAUGUUUGUUCUACAGGGAGACUAUAAUGUUCCAUCCUACGUAUCUAAUGAAUGUAAAAUCAUACUAAGCAAUCUCCUGGUUACAAAUCCCCCAGAAGAGGUGUUCAUUGGAGCCAUUCAUUAAUGAUCGAUGGACAAGCAUAGGACCUCAGAUGAAAUUAGCAUCAUCAGUUGAAGAUCCUGAAACAGAUGGCCCCUCCACAGCCAGCACUAAGGAUUAUGAAACAGAUAGCAACUCUGCAGAGACUAAUAAAAAAACCCACACCACAACUCUUACUAAUAUUACAUGGUUACUCUAAGAACCCCAGUCCUGUCUUGCAGAGAAACUACCCAUUUGAGGACUUUAGAGCCAUUUCUUCAGAGCACAUUCUCUGCUUACCUCCUUCAGUAGACAAAGGCAAAGAAUGACUGGGGAAGUGGGAGGGAUACUUAUAGCUUUGGCUGGGGUGUCUUUGCCUCCUCCUGGUGGCCAGGUGAUGUAAUUACCAACAGUAAUUAAUGAAUUUGUUGACUCUGCCAUUGGAAGGAAAAGAGCUAUGUCCAUGUCAUCUAUGAGUGGUGACUUUGAAAACUAUUACAUCUACUGUUUUGAGUUACCCCCUUUGGAUUGGAGCUUGAGAUUGGAGCAUAGUGAUGAUCAUGACAGUGACAAUAAGAGCUUUGUCACAGCUAAAUCAAGUCCUCCCUCUCCUGAUUCUGCUGUCCCAUCUGCUGAAGAACAUGAAGAGCCUUCUAUGUCUUCACCUCCUAUAGGAGGAUGGUGCUGAUACACAGGAAUCUGGCAUGAUACCUGAAGACCAUCCAAAUUUAGCUGGAGAAAAUAAAAGAACAGCAGAUGGCGCUCUUUUUGGAACUGCAUUAGGGGACUUUUUUGCUGCUGCAGUAUUAAAUUGUUUGUCAAACGUGGGUCUUUCUAAUAUUUUUUCUGUGACUUCAGAUUAGACAUUUAAUAGGUGUUGACCUUUCUACUAGUUAGGACCUUUUUUUUUUUUAUAUAUACCAAAUAUGACCUUUUUAUCGGAUGUGGCCUUUUUUUUACCAGAUAUAAGUUUUGUUUUACCGGGUAAGACAUUUUUUUUAUCAGAUGUGACAUUUUUACCGGAUGUGUCCUUUUGUUAUACAAUGUUUCUAUAAUAAAGUUUUCAUCUGAUUAUUAAAAAAAA